GUGCGAGAGCACAUCCAUUAUCCGGCUUGCAGGCCAGGAUAGAAGCGCUUCAAAAUUAGGUAAUAGCUGGGUCUCGGCUCUCGUCCCGAAAAGCUGCCACCAGUCUUGAUAUAAUGACGUCGUCGUGCUGCUGCUCUCUGCCUUCGUCCAUCAACGCGCCAAUAUGGUGCGCGUAUACGGACAAUGAUCGGUAAUGGUUGAGG
ensembl:ncRNA F46C8.15 ncRNA